rnacentral:rRNA from 1 species
GGGUUGUGAGGUUAAGCGACUAAGCGUACACGGUGGAUGCCCUGGCAGUCAGAGGCGAUGAAGGGCGUGCUAAUCUGCGAUAAGCGCCGGUAAGGUGAUAUGAACCGUUAUAACCGGCGAUACCCGAAUGGGGAAACCCAGUGUGAUUCGUCACACUAUCAUUAACUGAAUCCAUAGGUUAAUGAGGCGAACCGGGGGAACUGAAACAUCUAAGUACCCCGAGGAAAAGAAAUCAACCGAGAUUCCCCCAGUAGCGGCGAGCGAACGGGGAGGAGCCCAGAGCCUGAAUCAGCAUGUGUGUUAGUGGAAGCGUCUGGAAAGGCGCGCGAUACAGGGUGACAGCCCCGUACACAAAAGCGCAUGUGCUGUGAGCUCGAUGAGUAGGGCGGGACACGUGGUAUCCUGUCUGAAUAUGGGGGGACCAUCCUCCAAGGCUAAAUACUCCUGACUGACCGAUAGUGAACCAGUACCGUGAGGGAAAGGCGAAAAGAACCCCGGCGAGGGGAGUGAAAAAGAACCUGAAACCGUGUACGUACAAGCAGUGGGAGCACCCUUUGGGUGUGACUGCGUACCUUUUGUAUAAUGGGUCAGCGACUUAUAUUCUGUAGCAAGGUUAACCGAAUAGGGGAGCCGGAGGGAAACCGAGUCUUAAUUGGGCGUUAAGUUGCAGGGUAUAGACCCGAAACCCGGUGAUCUAGCCAUGGGCAGGUUGAAGGUUGGGUAACACUAACUGGAGGACCGAACCGACUAAUGUUGAAAAAUUAGCGGAUGACCUGUGGCUGGGGGUGAAAGGCCAAUCAAACCGGGAGAUAGCUGGUUCUCCCCGAAAGCUAUUUAGGUAGCGCCUCGUGAAUUCAUCUCCGGGGGUAGAGCACUGUUUCGGCUAGGGGGCCAUCCCGGCUUACCAACCCGAUGCAAACUGCGAAUACCGGAGAAUGUUAUCACGGGAGACACACGGCGGGUGCUAACGUCCGUCGUGAAGAGGGAAACAACCCAGACCGCCAGCUAAGGUCCCAAAGUCAUGGUUAAGUGGGAAACGAUGUGGGAAGGCCCAGACAGCCAGGAUGUUGGCUUAGAAGCAGCCAUCAUUUAAAGAAAGCGUAAUAGCUCACUGGUCGAGUCGGCCUGCGCGGAAGAUGUAACGGGGCUAAACCAUGCACCGAAGCUGCGGCAGCGACACUGUGUGUUGUUGGGUAGGGGAGCGUUCUGUAAGCCUGCGAAGGUGGCCUGUGAGGGUUGCUGGAGGUAUCAGAAGUGCGAAUGCUGACAUAAGUAACGAUAAAGCGGGUGAAAAGCCCGCUCGCCGGAAGACCAAGGGUUCCUGUCCAACGUUAAUCGGGGCAGGGUGAGUCGACCCCUAAGGCGAGGCCGAAAGGCGUAGUCGAUGGGAAACGGGUUAAUAUUCCCGUACUUGGUGUUACUGCGAAGGGGGGACGGAGAAGGCUAUGUUGGCCGGGCGACGGUUGUCCCGGUUUAAGCGUGUAGGUGUGUGUUCCAGGUAAAUCCGGUUCACUUUAACACUGAGGCGUGACGACGAGGCACUACGGUGCUGAAGCAACAAAUGCCCUGCUUCCAGGAAAAGCCUCUAAGCAUCAGGUAACAUCAAAUCGUACCCCAAACCGACACAGGUGGUCAGGUAGAGAAUACCAAGGCGCUUGAGAGAACUCGGGUGAAGGAACUAGGCAAAAUGGUGCCGUAACUUCGGGAGAAGGCACGCUGACACGUAGGUGAAGUGAUUUACUCAUGGAGCUGAAGUCAGUCGAAGAUACCAGCUGGCUGCAACUGUUUAUUAAAAACACAGCACUGUGCAAACACGAAAGUGGACGUAUACGGUGUGACGCCUGCCCGGUGCCGGAAGGUUAAUUGAUGGGGUCAGCGCAAGCGAAGCUCCUGAUCGAAGCCCCGGUAAACGGCGGCCGUAACUAUAACGGUCCUAAGGUAGCGAAAUUCCUUGUCGGGUAAGUUCCGACCUGCACGAAUGGCGUAAUGAUGGCCAGGCUGUCUCCACCCGAGACUCAGUGAAAUUGAACUCGCUGUGAAGAUGCAGUGUACCCGCGGCAAGACGGAAAGACCCCGUGAACCUUUACUAUAGCUUGACACUGAACAUUGAGCCUUGAUGUGUAGGAUAGGUGGGAGGCUUUGAAGUGUGGACGCCAGUCUGCAUGGAGCCGACCUUGAAAUACCACCCUUUAAUGUUUGAUGUUCUAACGUGGACCCGUUACCCGGGUUGCGGACAGUGUCUGGUGGGUAGUUUGACUGGGGCGGUCUCCUCCUAAAGAGUAACGGAGGAGCACGAAGGUUGGCUAAUCCUGGUCGGACAUCAGGAGGUUAGUGCAAUGGCAUAAGCCAGCUUGACUGCGAGCGUGACGGCGCGAGCAGGUGCGAAAGCAGGUCAUAGUGAUCCGGUGGUUCUGAAUGGAAGGGCCAUCGCUCAACGGAUAAAAGGUACUCCGGGGAUAACAGGCUGAUACCGCCCAAGAGUUCAUAUCGACGGCGGUGUUUGGCACCUCGAUGUCGGCUCAUCACAUCCUGGGGCUGAAGUAGGUCCCAAGGGUAUGGCUGUUCGCCAUUUAAAGUGGUACGCGAGCUGGGUUUAGAACGUCGUGAGACAGUUCGGUCCCUAUCUGCCGUGGGCGCUGGAGAACUGAGGGGGGCUGCUCCUAGUACGAGAGGACCGGAGUGGACGCAUCACUGGUGUUCGGGUUGUCAUGCCAAUGGCACUGCCCGGUAGCUAAAUGCGGAAGAGAUAAGUGCUGAAAGCAUCUAAGCACGAAACUUGCCCCGAGAUGAGUUCUCCCUGAGACUUAGAGUCUCCUGAAGGAACGUUGAAGACGACGACGUUGAUAGGCCGGGUGUGUAAGCGCAGCGAUGCGUUGAGCUAACCGGUACUAA